rnacentral:rRNA from 1 species
CCUACGGGGGGCAGCAGUGAGGAAUAUUGGUCAAUGGACGAGAGUCUGAACCAGCCAAGUAGCGUGAAGGAUGACUGCCCUAUGGGUUGUAAACUUCUUUUAUAUGGGAAUAAAACGUUCCACGUGUGGGAUUUUGUAUGUACCAUAUGAAUAAGGAUCGGCUAACUCCGUGCCAGCAGCCGCGGUAAUACGGAGGAUCCGAGCGUUAUCCGGAUUUAUUGGGUUUAAAGGGAGCGUAGGUGGAUUGUUAAGUCAGUUGUGAAAGUUUGCGGCUCAAGCGUAAAAGUGCAGUUGAAACUGGCAGUCUUGAGUACAGUAGAGGUGGGCGGAAUUCGUGGUGUAGCGGUGAAAUGCUUAGAUAUCACGAAGAACUCCGAUUGCGAAGGCAGUUCACUGGACUGCAACUGACACUGAGGCUCGAAAGUGUGGGUAUCAAACAGGAUUAGAUACCCCUGUAGUC